rnacentral:rRNA from 1 species
UACGGGGGGGGCAAGCGUUGUUCGGAAUUACUGGGCGUAAAGGGCUCGUAGGUGGCCAACUAAGUCAGACGUGAAAUCCCCCGGCUUAACCGGGGAACUGCGUCUGAUACUGGAUGGCUUGAGUUCGGGAGAGGGAUGCGGAAUUCCAGGUGUAGCGGUGAAAUGCGUAGAUAUCUGGAGGAACACCGGUGGCGAAGGCGGCAUCCUGGACCGACACUGACGCUGAGGAGCGAAAGCCAGGGGAGCAAACGGG